UGCUCUCCACAAAAAACAGCUAUUAAUACAAAAUAUGCACUGGAAACAACGUGAAACAGCUGUGAAUAUUAAUGACAACGAUGGCUUCCCAGGGUACUCCUGACCAAAGCCUACAUGUGAACAUCAUUGUAUUGGAUAAAGAAAAAUUUCCUAGGGAGAUGCAAGCCUAGAUUUUCACAUAUGUGAGUAUAUGAAAUAAUAUCAUGUUUUACGAAUAGCCAUUUGAAAUAAGUACAGACUUUGAUGCUUCUUACAGAGUGAAAAUGGCAGUCUGGAAAAUAUAAAUGAGAUUCUAGUUGUGAAAUCUAAAUUCCUUUAGUGAAGUAAAUUAAUAUUACAUUAACAAGCAGGUUCCCUGAAGCCAAAAUGGCCAGAACAGAGUUGCUUGCAUUCAGAUAACUAAAGAAAUGUGUUACUGUUUCCUUUUAAAAUA
rnacentral:lncRNA from 1 species